rnacentral:rRNA from 1 species
GUGGGGAAUCUUGCGCAAUGGGCGAAAGCCUGACGCAGCCAUGCCGCGUGAAUGAUGAAGGUCUUAGGAUUGUAAAAUUCUUUCACCGGGGACGAUAAUGACGGUACCCGGAGAAGAAGCUCCGGCUAACUUCGUGCCAGCAGCCGCGGUAAUACGAAGGGGGCUAGCGUUGCUCGGAAUUACUGGGCGUAAAGGGCGCGUAGGCGGACAGCUUAGUCAGAGGUGAAAGCCCAGGGCUCAACCUUGGAAUUGCCUUUGAUACUGGCUGUCUUGAGUUUGGGAGAGGUGAGUGGAACUCCGAGUGUAAAGGUGAAAUUCGUAGAUAUUCGGAAGAACACCAGUGGCGAAGGCGACUCACUGGCCCAAUACUGACGCUGAGGCGCGAAAGCGUGGGGAGCAAACAGGAUUAGAUACCCGGGUAGUCC